AACUUUUGAUGGUGGAUCUCUUGGCUCACGCAUCGAUGAAGAACGCAGCCAGCUGCAAUAAGUAGUGUGAAUUGCAGAAUUCAGUGAAUCAUCGAAUCUUUGAACGCAAAUGGCGCUCUUGGGUUCUCCCAGGAACAUGUCUGUCUGAGUGUCGGAUUGUUGUCCAUC
rnacentral:rRNA from 1 species